rnacentral:tRNA from 1 species
GUCUCCAUCGUCUAGUCCGGCCUAGGACACCGGGUUUUCAUCCCGACAACAGGAGUUCGAAUCUCCUUGGAGACGCCA